UUUAAUUUAACUGAGUUAAUAUUACUUCCUGUUCCUGCAGGUGGCAGGUGACGCGCAUGCGCAGCUCCUCUGCUGACAGCAAGAAGGAAAGAUGAGAGAAAACUUCAACAUUUCAAUCUUAGUGCUGACAGAAACAAAGGAGGCUGAUUGUUAAGUCUUGACUGUGGAGGGCAGCGUUACGCUCCUUUGCGCACAGCCUGCCGGAAUUCAAGAAGAAGAAGAAGCAGAAGAGGAACAAGAAGAAGAACAACAACAACAAGAACAAGAAGAAGAAGCAGCAGCAGAACCAGCAGCAGCAGAACCAGCAGCAGCAGAACCAGCAGAAGAAGAACAAGAAGAAGAAGAGAGCUGGGCCGGGAACGGGACCGGGAUUUUGCCGGCGGUUCGGUCCCGUUCUGUGGAUCUUAACGGACUGUUGCCUUCACUCCCUUAGCCCUACACAUUCUGGAUGUCUGGAUACUGUCUUUACUCGUCGUCCAAUUGAUAAUCGCCUACCUGUGGAUGUUAACAUGCCAUUAACCAAUCGCACCAAGAGAGAGAAAAAACGUCAGGCGAUGCGCCUUGCACGUGCUGCUGAGUCAGCUGAAGCCAGAGAUGCCCGCCGGGCCAGCAAUGCUUCUUAUCAGUCAAGGCGCCGUGCAGCUGAAACCGAAAGCCAGCGGACCACUCGACUGGCAAUCAACGCCGCACUCCAGUCAAGGCGCCGUGCACGUGCUGCUGAGUCAGCUGAAGCCCAAGAUGCCCGCUGGUCCAUGAAUGCUGCUCUCCACUCAAGGCGCCGCACAGCUGAAACCAAAAACCAACGGACCACUCGACUGGCCAGCGACGCUGCACUCCACCCAAGGCGCCACGCAGCUGAAUCUGAAAACCAGCAGAGUUGUCAACUGGGUAGCGAUGCCAACUUUCAUCAUACUUGCCAACAUUGGGUUGUGAAAAAUGGGCUGAUUUUUUUCAUCGGUGUAUCGACCCAUGGAACAAGUUUCCUUCCUCAGGUGUGCGCAUAAAUUGUCAUCAUUUUUUGCCUUGUAUUUUAAACCUAAUGAAGGAACCUUGUUCUGAAAAUGUUGUUUCUUUGAUAUGCAAUAAAUGAUUCAAGGACA